UUGAUACUAACACGGAGAAUUAGUAUGUAUUGAAUUCUCGAACGGCACACAUCGUCUCUUGACCCACCACACGACUUAAUUUCAACGUACCUGUGUAAUAAAGUAAAGUUUUGUGGUGUAUUUAAGUUGACUAAUUUUUUCUAUAGGCAAAAAAAUCCUAGGAUCGAGUCCGAGAAAGACAGUGCCGGUUUGGGUGCUUGGCCGUUCCCGUGCAAACUCAAGAAAUAUGUAUUGCACCUGAUACGUUUCGGAAAAAAAGAUCACCUAAUCUAAAAUAUGCGAUUGGAAUGAUAGUUACACAUAAGUAUAAAAUGCGUGAUAAUACAUAUAUAUAUCCUUCUGGUGUCAUUAUUGGGUGGCACAACAAAGGCCACAUUCCAUGCUCUCCAUAUAAGAGAUUAUAUUGUACUCACAACGAUAUUAAACAAGAAUGUAUACAGAAAUAUAACAUCGAAGAUUGGGAAUUGCAACCAUACUACGUGUUGUUAAAUGAAUAUAACCUGGUGUUUUAUGUUUUACAAUGUGUUAUAACAUCGACAUACAAAGAAUGGAUAAACCAUAUAUUAAAAAGGGAUAAUCCAGAUAUUGGAAAAUUUUUCUGUAAAUUUAAAGUUACUCAUUAUGUGCCAAACAAAAUGCUAGAAAAACAUUAUCCAGAUUAUGCUGCAGUCGUUCGCGAAAUAUUGAGUAAUCAUAUUGUGUCGUUUUAAAAUAUGACUUGAUCAGACUUUCGGAAUAAAAUUCCAAGUUGUAUUCCAACAACGCAUUUAUCAGAAAUAAACUAGAAAUGACAGUA